CAGCUGCUUAGCCCAGGCGAGCGCCAGCAGCAAAGCCGGGGACGCGGCGCGGGGCUCCGCAGGGAUGAGCGACAGCAGCGAGGGGAUCAGCUUCUCUGUGCCCAGCCCGCCGGGCGGCGGCUGCCUGCAGGAGGAGGGGGUCAGCCGGAGAGCGCCGGGGGCUGACGGGGGCGCCCGCAGCCUCCUCCCCGCCCAGGCCGCGCCGCCAGCAGGCACCUACUGGAACGAGGACAGUAGCGCUGCCUGCCCAGUGGCGGGGACCGGAGCCCGGGCCAAGGGCGGCUGCACCAGGAGGACCACGGUGUCCUACGUGAUCAACGAGGAGAGCCAGGGGCUUCUGGUGGCGGCGGAGAGCGGGGCCCUGCAGAGCCUGCGGGAGGCGUGCGAGGCGGUCGGGGCCUCCCUGGAGACCUUGCACUUUGCCAAGCUGGACUUCGGGGAGACCACGGUGCUGGACCGCUUCUACAACGCAGAUAUUGCAGUGGUGGAGAUGAGUGAUGCUUUCCGUCAGCCUUCCUUGUUCUACCACCUGGGAGUCAGAGAGAGCUUCAGUAUGGCCAACAACAUUAUCCUCUACUGUGAUACAAAUGCAGACUCUCUGCAGUCGUUGAAGGAAAUUAUUUGCCAGAAGAAUACUAUGUGCACUGGUAACUACAUAUUUGUUCCAUAUAUGAUAACUCCACAUAACAAAGUGUACUGCUGUGAUAGCAGUUUUAUGAAGGGAUUAACAGAGCUAAUGCAGCCCAGUUUUGAAUUGCUCCUUGGGCCAAUAUGUUUACCUUUGGUGGAUCGCUUCAUUCAACUCUUGAAGGUGGCACAGGCCAGUUCAAGCCAAUAUUUCCGGGAGUCCAUUCUUAAUGAUAUCAGGAAGGCCCGCAACCUGUACACAGGCAAAGAGCUAGCUGCAGAGCUGGCAAGAAUACGACAGCGAGUGGAUAAUAUUGAACUCUUGUCUGCGGACAUCGUCAUAAAUUUGCUGUUGUCCUAUAGAGACAUUCAGGAUUAUGAUUCCAUUGUGAAAUUGGUAGAAACUUUAGAAAAGCUGCCUACCUUUGACUUGGCCUCCCAUCACCAUGUGAAGUUUCAUUAUGCAUUUGCACUAAACAGGCGAAAUCUACCUGGCGAUAGACAGAAAGCUUUAGAAAUUAUGAUACCCCUGGUACAACAUGAAACUCAGGUAGCUUCAGAUAUGUACUGCCUGGUGGGACGAAUCUACAAAGAUAUGUUUUUGGACUCUGGCUUUACAGACAUAGAAAGCAGAGACAAUGGGACAUCCUGGUUCAAGAAGGCAUUUGAAUCAGAGCCAACAUUGCAAUCAGGAAUUAAUUAUGCAGUACUCCUACUGGCAGCUGGACACCAGUUUGAUACUUCUUUUGAGCUACGGAAAGUUGGGGUAAAGAUCAGUAGCCUGCUUGGUAAAAAGGGGAAUUUGGAGAAGCUGCAGAGUUAUUGGGAAGUCGGAUUUUUCUUGGGUGCCAGUGUCCUGGCCAAUGACCACUUAAGAGUGAUCCAGGCUUCAGAAAAGCUAUUUAAGCUAAAGGCACCAGCAUGGUACCUCAAGUCUAUUGUAGAAACUAUUUUGAUAUAUCAGCAUUUUAAGAAAUUGAAUCCAGAACAACAUGUUUCCAAACAGGAACUUUUGGACUUUUGGAUGGACUUCCUAGUUGAAACCACAAAGACAGAUGUGUCUGUAGUUAGAUUUCCAGUUUUAAUAUUAGAACCAACAAAAAUUUACCAGCCUUCAUAUCUGUCCAUCAAUAGCGAGGCAGAGGAGAAGACCAUAUCUAUCUGGCACGUCCUACCUGAUGACAAGAAAGGUAUUCAUGAGUGGAACUUCAGUGCUGCUUCUAUCAGGGGAGUAAGUAUUUCAAAGUUUGAAGAGCGAUGCUGUUUUCUUUAUGUACUGCAUAACUCAGAUGACUUUCAAAUCUAUUUCUGCACAGAACUGCAUUGCAAGAGGUUUUUUGAUAUGGUGAAUAGUAUCACUGAAGAUAUAGGGAAAAACACAGAGGAAGGGGAAUGUGAUGGAGAUUCUGUAGAGUAUGACUACGAAUAUGAUGAAAAUGGUGAGAGAGUUGUUUUGGGGAAAGGAACUUACGGCAUAGUUUAUGCAGGACGAGAUCUGAGCAAUCAAGUUAGGAUUGCCAUUAAAGAAAUCCCAGAAAGAGAUAGCAGGUAUUCCCAGCCUUUACAUGAAGAAAUCGCCCUGCAUAAGCAUCUUAAGCACAAGAACAUUGUGCAGUACUUGGGUUCCCUUAGUGAGAAUAAUUUUAUUAAGAUAUUCAUGGAACAGGUGCCAGGGGGCAGCCUUUCUGCUCUUCUGCGUUCAAAAUGGGGACCACUAAAAGAUAACGAGCAGACAAUUGGUUUUUACACCAAGCAGAUUCUUGAAGGAUUAAAAUACCUCCAUGAUAAUCAGAUAGUGCAUCGAGACAUAAAGGGUGAUAAUGUGCUUAUCAACACAUACAGUGGAGUUCUAAAGAUUUCAGACUUUGGCACAUCAAAGAGACUUGCGGGGAUCAAUCCGUGUACUGAAACUUUCACUGGUACCCUUCAGUAUAUGGCACCAGAAAUUAUAGACAAAGGGCCACGAGGCUACGGGAAAGCUGCCGACAUCUGGUCUUUGGGGUGCACCAUCAUUGAAAUGGCCACAGGGAAGCCUCCAUUUUAUGAACUGGGAGAGCCACAGGCAGCUAUGUUUAAGGUGGGAAUGUUUAAAAUACACCCAGAGAUUCCUGAAUCCAUGUCAGCCGAGGCCAAAGCCUUCAUACUGCGUUGCUUUGAACCAGACCCUGACAAACGACCUUUUGCUAAUGAACUACUUGUAGAUGAGUUUUUAAAGAUUUCAAGCAAGAAGAGAAAAUCCCAAACAAAACUCUCAGCUCUUUCAGCUUACUCAAAUGAAUACCUUCGGAGCAUAUCUUUGCCUGUUCCUGUUCUGGUAGAAGAUACGAGCAGUAGCAGUGAAUAUGGCUCUGUUUCACCUGAUACAGACUUAAAAAUUGAUCCAUUCUCUUUCAAAUCAAGAGCCAAAUCAUGUGGAGAAAAAGAUGCAAAAGGAAUCCAGUCCCUUUUUCUGAGCAUCCCAGAUGAGAAUUUUGAGGAUCAUAGUGCUCCUCCUUCACCUGAAGAGAAAGAUUCUGGGUUCUUCAUGCUAAAAAAGGACAGUGAACGGAGAGCCACUCUCCACAGAAUAUUAACAGAGGACCAAGAGAAGGUGGUGAGGAACUUAAUGGAAGCCUUAGCUCAGGGAGCUGAAGAACCCAAACUAAAAUGGGAGCACAUCACAACUCUUGUUGCCAGCCUCAGAGAAUUUGUAAGGUCAACUGAUCGCAAAAUCAUUGCGACCACUCUUUCAAAACUGAAACUGGAGUUAGACUUUGACAGUCACGGUAUUAGUCAAGUCCAGGUGGUGCUAUUUGGUUUUCAAGAUGCUGUCAAUAAAGUUUUACGAAAUCACAACAUUAAGCCGCACUGGAUGUUUGCCUUGGACAGCAUAAUUCGAAAAGCUGUGCAGACUGCUAUUACUAUUCUGAUUCCCGAACUGAGGCCACACUUUAGUCUUGCAUCUGAAAGUGAUACAGCAGAUCAGGAUGACAUAGAAGUUGAAGAAGAUCAUGAUGAACGGCCUCAGAAUCAAAAUAUUCAACGGCCUUGCAUUGUCAUAGAAGAUGCUAUAGCUACCUCAGGUGUGAGCACACUCAGUUCUACAGUGUCCCACGAUUCCCAGGCUGCUCAUAGAUCACUGACUGUUCAACUAGGAAGGCUAAAAUUAGAGACAAAUAGGCUACUAGAAGAGUUAGUGCAGAAGGAGAGAGAAUUUCACGCCCUUUUGCAUCAAGCUAUAGAAGAAAAGGAUCAAGAGAUCAAAAACCUGAAGCUUAGGUCACAGCAAGUAGAUAUCCCUGGACUGUCUGUCUGUCACCUUAAUCCUUCUGGCACAGGGGUUGAAGAUUCUGAUCUCAUAAACUGGCUUAGAGUUCAUGGAGCUGAUGAAGAUACUAUAAAUAGGGUAGGAAAGAUUUUUUUUAGUUUUUGGCAGAAGACUACACAUUAAUGGAUGUUCUCUGCUACGUUACACGAGAUGAUCUGAAAUGCCUGAGACUAAGAGGAGGGAUGCUAUGUACACUCUGGAAGGCCAUCAGUGAUUUUCGAGAGAAACAUGCUUGAUGCUGGCUAAAUCAGUUUCUACUACUUUGUAGAGAUUUAGAGAUUUUCUACAGCACAGAGCAGGUUUGCUGCCAGAAAGAGUGUUGCACUUUAUCCAGUAUUUGUUUACCAAUGUUAAAAACACUGCAGUUCUUGACUGCAUUUACUCCGACAACCUCUAAGAAGUCUGUAAACACCCUUUUACAUUAUUUUUGUUUUAAAUGAUUUUACAUGGAAGCUUUUUUUUUCAAUCUUAAAAUCUGUUGUAGAUAAAGUAACCAGAUCGUAAUUUACACAAAACCUAUGUAAGAUUUCAUGUGAUUAUGCAUCACUGGAACAAAACCAAAAUGUGACAACCUUUCAAGUUUAUUCUUCUUUUGUUAUAUACCAUAAUAAUCCGUAGUAGAACUUCAUAAUUUCAAUUAUCAUGUAAAGCUUACAUUUUUUUGUUUUAGUGUGCAGAACCUAAAGGUAAUUGUUUUUACUUACUGCCCUAUAUAAAUUUUAAUAUUGUUUAUUUUUGGUAACUUAAGUUCCCUGGUCUACAGUACAUUUGUUUUAGAGUUGUUUAUGUACUACUGAACUGUACCAGUUGUAUAUGCCUGAACCAUAGUAAUGUUAGCUUGUUCUAAAGCUAUUUAUUGUGACAUACAAACAUACAUUCUUAAAAAUAAAGAAUCUAAGGAUACAA